GUGACAGCAGCCGCGGUAACACGUAGGAGGCAAGCGUUAUCCGGAUUUACUGGGUGUAAAGCGCAAGCAGGCGGUCGGAGAAGUCACCUGUGAAAGCGCCCGGCUCAACUGGGCGAGGACGGGUGAGACUCUUUGACUUGAGGUAGGUAGAGGCACGUGGAAUUCCGGGUGUAGUAGUGAAAUGCGUAGAGAUCCGGAGGAACACCAGUGGCGAAGGCGACGUGCUGGACCUAUACUGACGCUCAGAUGCGAAAGCACGGGGAGCGAACGGGAUUAGAUACCCGAGUAGUCC
rnacentral:rRNA from 1 species